AACGCACAUUGCGCCCUUUGGUAGUCCUUAGGGCAUGCCUGUUCGAGCGUCAUUUUAACCCUCAAGCUCAGCUUGGUGAUGGGCGCCUGUCCCCCCAGGGACUCGCCUCAAAUGAAUUGGCAGCCGGUAUGUUUGGCUUCGAGCGCAGCAGAAACGCGUCUCCAGUCUAGGUACCUGGCUCUCCAGCAAGUCUCACCCCAAUUUUGACCUCGGAUCAGGUAGGGAUACCCGCUGAACUUAA
rnacentral:misc_RNA from 1 species